GGGGGAUGCCUAGGCUCUCAGAGGCGACGAAGGACGCGAUAAGCUGCGAAAAUCCACGGGGAGCUGCACAUGAGCAUUGAUCCGUGGGUGUCCGAAUGGGGCAACCCGGCAGGUUGAAGGCCUGUCACCCAGCAAUGGGGGCGAACCCGCCGAACUGAAACAUCUAAGUAGGCGGAGGAAGAGAAAACAAGAGUGAUUCCGAGAGUAGUGGCGAGCGAAAUCGGAACAGCCCAAACCGUUGUUGUUUAGGCAAUGACGGGGUUGUAGGACCACAAU
rnacentral:rRNA from 1 species